CGGGACGGGUGAGUAGCGCGUGGGUAACCUACCCUGUACACACGGAUAACAUACCGAAAGGUAUGCUAAUACGGGAUAAUAUAUUUGAGAGGCAUCUCUUGAAUAUCAAAGGUGAGCCAGUACAGGAUGGACCCGCGUCUGAUUAGCUAGUUGGUAAGGUAACGGCUUACCAAGGCGACGAUCAGUAGCCGACCUGAGAGGGUGAUCGGCCACAUUGGAACUGAGACACGGUCCAA
rnacentral:rRNA from 1 species